GCCUUGGGAUAGGCUUGCGUCUGAUUAGCUAGUUGGUGUGGUAACGGCACACCAAGGCUACGAUCAGUAACUGGUCUGAGACGGAUGAUCAGUCACACUGGAACUGAGACACGGUCCAGACUCCUACGGGAGGCAGCAGUGAGGAAUAUUUGGGCAAUGCCUCGAAAGAGUGACCCAGCAACGCCGCGUGGAGGAUGAAGGUAUUCUAUAUCGUAAACUCCUGUGAGAGCAGACGAAAGACAGAUUAUUAAUCUGGAUGACUGUAUGCUCAGAGGAAGCCCCGGCUAACUACGUG
rnacentral:rRNA from 1 species